rnacentral:rRNA from 1 species
GCUUAACGCGAAGAACCUUACCAGGUCUUGACAUCCUCUGCCAACCCUAGAGAUAGGGCGUUCCCCGUUCGGGGGACAGAGUGACAGGUGGUGCAUGGUUGUCGUCAGCUCGUGUCGUGAGAUGUUGGGUUAAGUCCCGCAACGAGCGCAACCCUUGAUCUUAGUUGCCAGCAUUCAGUUGGGCACUCUAAGGUGACUGCCGGUGACAAACCGGAGGAAGGUGGGGAUGACGUCAAAUCAUCAUGCCCCUUAUGACCUGGGCUACACACGUGCUACAAUGGAUGGUACAAAGAGCUGCGAACCUGCGAGGGUAAGCGAAUCUCAUAAAGUCAUUCUCAGUUCGGAUUGUAGGCUGCAACUCGCCUACAUGAAGCCGGAAUCGCUAGUAAUCGCGGAUCAGCAUGCCGCGGUGAAUACGUUCCCGGGUCUUGUACACACCG